GCUUAUACAUGCAAGUCGUGGGGCAGCAGGGGUAGCAAUACCCGCUGGCGACCGGCAAAUGGGUGCGGAACACGUACGCAACCUUCCUUUAACUGGAGAAUAGCCCCUCGAAGGAGGGAUUAAUACUCCGUAACAUAUUGAUAAGGCAUCUUAUUAAUAUUAUAGCCUUCGGGCGGUUAAAGAUGGGCGUGCGCCUGAUUAGAUAGUUGGCGGGGUAAUGGCCCACCAAGUCUGCGAUCAGUAACUGGUGUGAGAGCACGACCAGUCACACGGGCACUGAGACACGGGCCCGACUCCUACGGGAGGCAGCAGUAAGGAAUAUUGGUCAAUGGACGCAAGUCUGAACCAGCCAUGCCGCGUGGAGGAUUAAGGCCCUCUGGGUUGUAAACUCCUUUUAUCUGGGAAGAAAUGCCAUUUUUCUAAAUGGUUUGACGGUACCAGAGGAAUAAGCACCGGCUAACUCCGUGCCAGCAGCCGCGGUAAUACGGAGGGUGCAAGCGUUAUCCGGAUUCACUGGGUUUAAAGGGUGCGUAGGCGGGUAAGUAAGUCCGUGGUGAAAUCUCUGAGCUUAACUCA
rnacentral:rRNA from 1 species